GCCGCAAUGAUGGAAUGGCAUACGUGGGCGAUUCAAAAUCGCUUUUUUGUGAGUUCAAAUCUCACUUGCGGCACCA
rnacentral:tRNA from 1 species